rnacentral:lncRNA from 1 species
UAUCUGCAGCCUACUGCCAGCCCCUCCCCCGUUUCCUGUGUGCCCUUCCUGUCUUCUCCGUUGGCUUCCAUCCAGGCCUCCGUGACAUACCCAGAAGCUGCAAAUGAUCUCCAAAAUCUCAAGUGUUUCACUAGAGUCGUGGCUGCUGGCAUAGUCUGUGUUAAAGCCCCAGCUACUGCAGCGGUGAAGCAAGAAGAGAAGGCUGAUGCUGCUGGGUCUCAGCACUGCAUCGCUCGCUGUGACACGGAGAGAGCAGCUCCUCCCUCUCCUCAGAAGGAAUGAGCUGGAAGGAAAAUGAUCAACAAGAAAAGCAUGUUCAUAGGAGAAAGAAUUUCAGUUGCUUGUGGAUUCAGCUGCCCAGCACAUGCACUAUUCAUUAGCACUGGCAGGACUGUAAAAACCAGCAGAUGGUGUCAGAGGAACUUGUACGGGAGAGGGCUGCAUGGCUGUUUUUGAAGAGGGAAGACAGAAGAACUUGUUGAUAGCACAAGGACAAAGGCGCAAACAUGCUGGAAGGGAUGUGCAAGGAGGGUCUAAAGAUGAGUUCAACAACAGACAUUCAGAUGUGAAGAAGAAACUCUGCACUAAGCACAGAGGUUUGGAACUAAAGGAGAGAAAUUUGAUAUAAGGAAAACCAGGAUUGCAGAGCUGCCAGUCUCCUUCAGGCCAUCAUCAACACAAAAUGGCAUUUGGAAACUAGACAGAUACCAGAAGCUUUCUCAAAUACUGGGAAUCAGGAAAGAGAUGGUUACAAAGCUAACUUCAAAUGUGUCUAGGAUGCUGUUCAAAUCAACAGUGAGGAUACAGAGCUGGAAAUUUGGAGUCCAAAUAUAUGGAUAACAGGACACAUAGUGUGUAAAAAGCACUUAAAAGAACACUGCAAACAGGCUAAACAAUCCAUGGUAUUCAUGGGAUCUCAGGGUUCCUAUGAAGUCCUAGAGGUGUCACUAUGAAAUAAUGAACUGCUGUCUCACUUUUGCUGACUUGAGAACACACAUGCAAAUUACUCCAAGCUGUAUUAACAAGCACAUAUGGACCUGAGACUACAGCAGUGCUUAACACAAGCCAAGCUAACAGCCAAACAUGGGCUCAAGAGUCGCAGGGGGCUGGGGGAAGACUCCGUGGCACAUUAUGUUAUGAGACCUUCUUGUAAAAAGAUGAGAAAAAUUGGGAAGUGCAAGCAAACUGUUAGCAUUUGCUGAGUUCUCAGAUCUGAGCCUGCUAAAUUAGUGUUUUAAGUAAAAUAACAAGAUUUUAUAAUAUCUUUCCAACUAGUCAUUUGACAGCUUUCCACAGAUGGUCUGAAGUAUGUAUGAAAAUAUAAUACAAGUGGAAAAUUCCUUAUCUAACUUUACAGCAUCCUUAUGUGCUAGGAGAAGGGUGGAAGCAGAAGAAACCUAGCAAGAGAGUGAUGUUCCCAUUCGGAAAACAGAGUGUGGAAAUGCAAGGGAGUUGCAAGGAAAAGCAAGGGGAUCAGUGAAGGCAGCGCUAGCAGCACUCAGUUUAUCUAGGAGAGGGUAGAGGUUGGCUCAGCUGC